UACAGAGGCCUCGAGCGUUAGGCGGAAUCACUGGGCUUAAAGCGUGUGUAGGUGGAUGCCUAAGUACCUUGUGAAAUCCCAUGGCUUAACCAUGGAAUUGCUUGGUAUACUGGGUGUCUUGAGCCACUCAGGGGCUACUGGAACAAACGGUGGAGCGGUGAAAUGCGUAGAUAUCGUUUGGAACGCCAAUGGUGAAAACGAAGUAGCU
rnacentral:rRNA from 1 species